AACCUGGUUGAUCCUGCCAGUAGCCAUAUGCUUGUCUCAAAGAUUAAGCCAUGCAAGUCUAAGUGUAAGCCUUUACAUGACGAAACUGCAGACGGUUCAUUAAAACAGUUAUGGUCUAUUUGACGAUAUAUUCUAAAUGGAUAACUACUAGUAAAUCAGAGCUAAUACAUGCAUAAAAGCGGGACUUCGGAACUGCUGUAUUUAUUAGAUAAAACACCAACCGCUUCGGCGUUUGAGAUGAAUCAUAGUAACUUAUCGGAUCGCAGCAGCCUUGCGCUGGCGACAUGUCAUUCGAAUUUCUGCCCUAUCAGCUUUCAAUCGUAGGGUAUUGGCCUACGAUGGCUGUGACGGGUCACGGGGUAUUAGGGUACGAUACCGGAAAGGCAGCCUGAGAAACGGCUACCACAUCCAAGGAAGGCAGCAGGCGCGCAAAUUACCCAAUCUCAAUUCGAGGAGGUAGUGACAAGAAAUAACAAUAUACUUCACAAAGUGGAGUAUAAUUGGAAUGAUGUCUUACACUUUUAGUGUUAAAAGACGGGCGGAGGAGCAACUGGAGGGCAAGUCUGGUGCCAGCAGCCGCGGUAAUUCCAGCUCCAGUAGCGUAUGCUAACGUUGUUGCAGUUAAAAAGCUCGUAGUUGGAUUUCUGCAAGAGUUGGACGGCCUGAGCUUCACAGAAGUUUCAUGGAACAGUCACGACUUUUGCAUCCUGUCAUAAACUGCUCUGGUCUUAAUUGAUUGGGGUUUAGGGACUGACACAUUUACUUUGAGAAAAAUAGAGUGUUCAAAGCAGGCAUAUGCCUUGAAUAAAUUAGCAUGGAAUAAUAAGAUAGGACUUUGGUUCUAUUUUGUUGGUUGUUCGAGGACCGAAGUAAUGAUUGAGAGGGAUGGUUGGGGGCAUUAGUAUUCUAAAGCGAGAGGUGAAAUUCGUAGACCUUUGGAAGACUAACUACUGCGAAAGCAUUUGCCAAGGACAUUCCCUUUAAUCAAGAACGAAAGUUGGGGGAUCGAAGACGAUCAGAUACCGUCGUAGUCUCAACUAUAAACUAUACCGGCUAGGGAUUGGUGGGACGUUUAUUUUCGACUCCAGCAGCACCUUAUGGGAAACCAAAGCAUUUGGGUUCCGGGGGGAGUAUGGUCGCAAGGCUGAAACUUAAAGGAAUUGACGGGAGGGCACCACCAGGAGUGGAGCCUGUGGCUUAAUUUGACUCAACACGGGGAAACUUACCAGGUCAGAACUGCGGAAGGAUUUACAGAUUGAUAGCUCUUUAUUGAUUCGUAGGGUGGUGGUGCAUGGCCGUUCUUAGUUGGUGGAGUGAUUUGUCUGGUUAAUUCCGUUAACGAACGAGACCUCAGCCUGCUAAAUAGUUUGGUUCAUCAAUGAUGGACGCAGACUUCUUAGAGGGACUAUUCUGUGUCUAACGAAUGGAAGUUUGAGGCAAUAACAGGUCUGUGAUGCCCUUAGAUGUUCUGGGCCGCACACGGGCUACACUGGUACAAUCAACAAGCUUCAUAACCUGGUCUGAAAAGAUUGGGCAAUCUUUUGAAACUGCCACGUGAUAGGGAUAGGCCAUUGCAAUUGUUGGCCUUGAACGAGGAAUUCCUAGUAAACGCGAUUCACCAAAUCGCAUUGAUUACGUCCCUGCCCUUUGUACACACCGCCCGUCGCUCCUACCGAUUGGAUGAUCUGAUGAAAUUCUCGGAGGGCGACUUUGAAACUGGUUCGCCAGAUGAAAAGCUGCCUGAAGUUACUUAAAUCCGAUCAUCUAGAGGAAGGAGAAGUCGUAACAAGGUUUCCGUAGGUGAACCUGCAGAAGGAUCA
rnacentral:rRNA from 1 species